AAGGGCUUUAAUGGCUGCUGCUCUUAAGAUGAAUUGGUGGUAAAAGGCAGCCACGGCGGCUCCGAUGAAGGGUCCAACCCAGAACAUCCACUGCAAAAAAUAAACCAACACGUGAAUUAUAUAUGAAAACUCUUUUUUUGAAUUGAAAUG